GAUUAAGGCGGAGUCAGGCGCAGGACACAGCUCCUGGCCAAGACGGAGUUCACCCUGUACUCUCUGGUGGUGCAGCAGCUGUCAAAACAGGACCACUCUGACUACGCUGGCAAGAACAGACUAGUCUGCACAAGGAUGUGACGCCAUGCCCCUGACCUCUGACCCCAGACCAGAUCCUGCUGAUGUCAAUGAAGGACAUGAACAACACCAAGGUGUCCUCUGUCGACCUGUCGCUGUUCAACAACAUCAUCCAGGACCUCAUCCUCGCGAUGGAGACCCCAACCAUCGACUACAGAAAGCUGAUAGAGCCGAUCGAGGCGGAGCUGCGUCAGGCACGUCACCCUGAUUAAGGUCAUCCAGCUGUACGAGACCAAGAACUGAGACGCCACAGUGGUUGUGGGUAAGACGGGCAGUGGCAAGACGGUCACCUGGGGGAGCCUGCAGAGCACCUCAAGGGAGAGCCCGGCGGGCUGGCUGACUGAUUUUCGACUUCUCUGGCCCUCCAUCCGUAGGACCAUAACGUAAAGAAUUAUCUCCCUCUCCGUCAAACCAUUCCC
ensembl:lncRNA